GACAGAGGCCACAAGCGUUAGGCGGAAUCACUGGGCUUAAAGCGUGUGUAGGCGGACCGUUAAGUGCUUUGUGAAAUCCCACGGCUCAACCGUGGAAUGGCUUGGCAUACUGGCGGUCUUGAGCCACUCAGGGGCAACUGGAACUAACGGUGGAGCGGUGAAAUGCGUAGAUAUCGUUAGGAACGCCGAAGGUGAAAACAGGUUGCUGGGGGUGUGCUGACGCUGAGACACGAAAGCCAGGGGAGCAAACGGG
rnacentral:rRNA from 1 species